AUGGCCCACAUAUCAGAUAUUAAACUGAUAAGAACAGAUACUACACUUGAUCUUAGCCAAAAGGCCGAGAAAGGUAUGAUUUGCAACGUUGCCUUGCCCCUCUAUUUGUACCCUCCUGCCCUCCCGUCCCCUCCCCGCCGAGCGAGGUGGUACUAA
rnacentral:rRNA from 1 species